GCCGCUUUCCCCACCGAGCUCCGGGGCCGCCAUGGCGGCCGGGCCCUGAGGGAGCGGAGCCGGGGCCGCGCCAUCUUUUAGAGGCGGAGCGGGACCCGUCCCGCCCCAUGCUCUGCCUGCCGGGGCCGCCCGGCCCCGCCGCACUCGCCGCGGAGACCGAGGGGAGCGGAGCCGCAGCCCCCAGCGCCAUUGCCGCCCUCAGCCCGCCAUGGCAGGAGAAAAUGCAGAUGGCUGCACACAACCCUUCUACUUCCAUUGGAGCUGAUGGUUUAUAUGUUGCUGCAAAAUCUAUUUAUAUCAAGUGUUAUUUAUGAAGCCUCAGUGGUCAUGACAUGGCCUGACAACAGUUACCGUGGGGUUGUUUUUUUUUGCUUAAAAGCUUCAGGAAGACAAUAUUGACAGUCAGGAUGAGUAAGAGUUGAGCAUCCUGAUGUAGUGAAGGCAGGAGUAAAAUAAAUCAUUAGAAAUGAAA